rnacentral:rRNA from 1 species
GACGAACGCUGGCGGCGUGCCUAAUACAUGCAAGUAGAACGCAGUUGCGAACGGGUGAGUAACGCGUAGGUAACUGCCUCAUUGCGGGGGGUAACUCUUGGAAACGAUAGCUAAUACCGCAUACUGUAAGAUGGACCUGCGUUGUAUUAGCUAGUUGGUGAGGUAAAGGCUCACGAAGGCGACGAUACAUAGCCGACCUGAGAGGGUGGACGGCCACAAUGGGAAUGGGGCAACGGCCAGACCCCUAAGGGGGGCAGCAAUAGGGGAUCUUCGGGAAUGGGCGGAAGUCUGACCGAGCAACGCCGCGGGAGGGAAGAAGGUUUUCGGAGUGGAAAGCUCUGUUGUUAGAGGAGCGGUAACUAACCAGAAAGGCACGGCUAACUACGUGCCAGCAGCCGCGGUAAUAC